CAGGUGGAAAAGCUCCAUCUCCACUGCAGCUCCAUGAUGUGUGAAAUAGCCUCUCUGUGCGUGCCUGCUUGGAUGCCUUUGAGCUAAAGGAGAAAACUUCGGAGCCAGCCCUACAGUCCCAGUCCAGCUUUGGAUCUGCCUGUGCUCCCUUCUGGCCCCAUGACGGCCCUUUGUACAAGGUGCUUAAGACCACCUCUGAAAAGCUUCUUUGCACAAUUCUGAUGACAUCAGCAGUAAUAAACCCACUGAUGAACACAGUUUAACAACAGUUGUGGAACACUGAACCAUGCAAAGGAACCAGGGCAGCUGGAUCAGUUAAGAAAAAAUCAAUGGUGGUACAGAUGGUGAUGACAGCUCAUACAGAAAUGCUGCUAGAUUUCUAACCAUUGCCUUGAAACACUGAUUUCAGACUGCAGGGCUGUAAUGACAACAUAAAUGAAGCACAGGAAUGUCUGCCCUUCUUCUGCUUCAGCACAGGGGGCAAGACUGGUGAAAAAAAAUUUGCUGGCAAGGUUGAAGAACUCAAAAUGAGACCUCUCUCCCAGCUCUGGAAUUCCCAUUGAUAGUAGUUGAUUCUGCAUAAAGGAUACAGG